rnacentral:rRNA from 1 species
UGCAGUCGACGGUGACACGGAGCUUGCUCUGUGGGAUCAGUGGCGAACGGGUGAGUAACACGUGAGCAACCUGCCCCUGACUCUGGGAUAAGCGCUGGAAACGGCGUCUAAUACUGGAUAUGUGACGUGACCGCAUGGUCUGCGUCUGGAAAGAAUUUCGGUUGGGGAUGGGCUCGCGGCCUAUCAGCUUGUUGGUGAGGUAAUGGCUCACCAAGGCGUCGACGGGUAGCCGGCCUGAGAGGGUGACCGGCCACACUGGGACUGAGACACGGCCCAGACUCCUACGGGAGGCAGCAGUGGGGAAUAUUGCACAAUGGGCGCAAGCCUGAUGCAGCAACGCCGCGUGAGGGACGACGGCCUUCGGGUUGUAAACCUCUUUUAGCAGGGAAGAAGCGAAAGUGACGGUACCUGCAGAAAAAGCGCCGGCUAACUACGUGCCAGCAGCCGCGGUAAUACGUAGGGCGCAAGCGUUAUCCGGAAUUAUUGGGCGUAAAGAGCUCGUAGGCGGUUUGUCGCGUCUGCUGUGAAAUCCGGAGGCUCAACCUCCGGCCUGCAGUGGGUACGGGCAGACUAGAGUGCGGUAGGGGAGAUUGGAAUUCCUGGUGUAGCGGUGGAAUGCGCAGAUAUCAGGAGGAACACCGAUGGCGAAGGCAGAUCUCUGGGCCGUAACUGACGCUGAGGAGCGAAAGGGUGGGGAGCAAACAGGCUUAGAUACCCUGGUAGUCCACCCCGUAAACGUUGGGAACUAGUUGUGGGGUCCAUUCCACGGAUUCCGUGACGCAGCUAACGCAUUAAGUUCCCCGCCUGGGGAGUACGGCCGCAAGGCUAAAACUCAAAGGAAUUGACGGGGACCCGCACAAGCGGCGGAACAUGCGGAUUAAUUCGAUGCAACGCGAAAAACCUUACCAAGGCUUGACAUAUA